GUUCUUAUAGUUGAAAAUAACAAUAAUGGGUCUUCAAGUUGUUUGGUCCUGGUUAAAGUCCGGGUAAGAAUU